GUAGCCGCCGCCGCCCGGGCCCGGGCAGUCCUCCUGGGGGCCGCCGCCCGCGCGCAGCUCCAGCUCCAGCUCCUCCUGAGGCCGCUCCUGCUGCAGUUGCCGGCGGAACUCCUCCAGCAGCUGCUCCACGCCCGACAGCUGCGCGUGCAGUUCGGACAGCGGCGCCGCGGGCGGCAAGGCCGCACGGCCGCUCGGCAGCCACAGGCAGAGCAGUAGCAGCCCGCGCAGCGCCCCGUGACGCGGCGGUAGCCGGCGCUGCGAGCCCGCGCUCUCCCGGGCGACGGAGGCCAUGGCGACGAGAGCCAAGGAUGAACCGUUGUCCACAUUCUCUUCUCUGAGUCAAAGAGGAGGAAGAUCUGUCCAUCGAAACUGAACUGCCAAGAUCCGCUGCUGUGUCCUUCGGCUUUCUGCUCACAAGACAUCCUUGCCUGCAGGGUGAGGGGUUCUGCCCCCAUCAGAGAGAGAUCAGCUCUGGCCUUGACAGAUAUUGAGCCCCCAUCCUCUUCCACUUGCAAUUUCCUGGUCUUACUUGCUCUGCCACAUCCUGGCCUUGCCUCUAGACGUCUUGCGGGGUUGCCAUUGCCUGCUGUUGCUCUACAAAGGGACAGGACUGGACACUGAGACGGAGAACCCACGGCCUGCAAAGAUCACAGGGCA
rnacentral:lncRNA from 1 species